rnacentral:rRNA from 1 species
AUUGAACGCUGGCGGCAGGCCUAACACAUGCAAGUCGAACGGUAACAGGGAUCAGCUUGCUGAUUCGCUGACGAGUGGCGGACGGGUGAGUAAUGUCUGGGAAACUGCCUGAUGGAGGGGGAUAACUACUGGAAACGGUAGCUAAUACCGCAUAACGUCGCAAGCCCAAAGAGGGGGAGCUUCGGGCCUCUUGCCAUCGGAUGUGCCCAGAUGGGAUUAGCUAGUAGGUGGGGUAACGGCUCACCUAGGCGACGAUCCCUAGCUGGUCUGAGAGGAUGACCAGCCACACUGGAACUGAGACACGGUCCAGACUCCUACGGGAGGCAGCAGUGGGGAAUAUUGCACAAUGGGCGCAAGCCUGAUGCAGCCAUGCCGCGUGUAUGAAGAAGGCCUUCGGGUUGUAAAGUACUUUCAGCGGGGAGGAAGGGAGUAAAGUUAAUACCUUUGCUCAUUGACGUUACCCGCAGAAGAAGCACCGGCUAACUCCGUG